UACGGAAGGGGCGAGCGUUGUUCGGAAUCAUUGGGCGUAAAGGGCGCGUAGGUGGUUCUGUAUGUCUACCGUGAAAGCGUACGGCUCAACCGUAUUUUGUCGGUAGAAACUGCAGGACUUGAGGCUGGGAGGGGCUGGUGGAAUUCCCUGUGUAGCGGUGAAAUGCGUAGAGAUGGGGGAGAACACUCGUGGCGAAGGCGGCCAGCUAGACCAGUUCUGACACUGAGGCGCGAGAGCGUGGGGAGCAAACAGG
rnacentral:rRNA from 1 species